rnacentral:lncRNA from 1 species
CAGAAAGAUCCUUUCUGCAUGCGUAUUUGUUCAGAUGGAGUGCAACACUAUUUACUGCUAGACAGAAGGGCUUCAAGCAUUCUCUCAGGAUGAAGAGCUCGAAACCAUGAGUAAAAUAGAUUAACUUGUAUCAAGCAUUUAUAAAAGCUGAGGAUAUUACCAGUGCUUCCUCUUCACCAUGAUGAUUACAAGUAUGAAACCUAGGAGUCCAAGUAAAGCAGGAGCUGUGCCCAUCAUGUGGGAGAGAGAUGCACUUACGGACAGUAGGGCAUGACUGACUGCUCUGUCACAACYUUACACAACACACCACUGAAACUUAGGCUCCCAUAAAUGCUGUUGAAGUUUGAAAGACAUCUGUAAACUUCAGCAGGGACUAGUCAGUGCCCAUAACAACAUUGAGCUGUUCCAGAUCCGUCGGUGGCACGCCGCCAGCGUCUCCACUUUGUCUGAGUGAACCAAGUGAGCAUUAUAUCAAAUGCAUUUUAAAGCAAAUAGCUUUACU